GCAAUCUCAAGCAGCACACAUAAAAUGCUGGAGGAACUCAGCAGGUCGGACAGCAUCUUUGGAGGGGAGCGGAGAGUCAGCGUUUUGGACGGAGACAGGAUCGACAGUCCCAGAUGAAGACAAUGGCAAACCAUUUCUGAAGAAUUUGCCAAGAACAAUCACGGUCAUAGACGAUGAUCGCCCACGUCAUACAACACGGCGCACAACGAUGAUGAUCGUGAUUCCCAGAAUCCUCCGUUCUACCACACUCCUCAGAGCCCUACGCCGUCACAGGAAGAACUUGCAAACUCCACACAGACAGCGCCAGAGGUCAGGAUUAAGCUCAGCUCUCGGCUACCCCACUCUGCUGCCCUUCUGAAGACGAAUACUUUGUGGUGUGGCAGGUCCAGGACCCUGACCUAGAGUUGCACUCAAACUUUUGUUCUUUCCGCUGAUGGUUCCCCCUCCCAGGGGCUCGCUGACAGACCAUUUCUCGACAUCCCAAGGGCUAGAAAGCGAGCGGGCCUUUAGGAUUCCGAGGCCUCGUGGCCCUGGGGACAAGCAAUUCUAAGCCAGUGCCACCAUCGCAGGACACAUCAGGAGCAGCGGAUCAAUUGUCGGUGGUUCUGUACACAGAUCACCCCUCUCUCUCGCACACAUUGGUGGGGAGAGUUCGUGGCCAAUUCUCAAGUCGGAGAACUUGGAAAACUUUAACACCAUAAAUCAGUGAGCUGAUUUGCCUAUGUCUCCCCUCUCGCUGAGUGACACCCCUAUGCCAUUUACUAGGGAGAGAGAGAGUGCCUAAUGUAUGUUGAAUUAUCUGGUGAACAAUUAGUUUUUGUUGUACUGCAGAUCACAGUCUUUUUUUGGGGGUCUUUGCUAUUGCAUGCUUGGUGGGUGGAGGUUGCUGAUGCUGAAGGAGGAGGGUCGACACUUGCUACUGUUUGUGCGUGGCAGGGAGCAUGGGGGGCACUCUGGGGUUCUAACAUUUUCACUAUCACUCAUUCCUUGGGCCACUCUUCUGUUUUAUGUGGGUGUCUGUGAAGAACAAGAAUUUCAGGUUGUACAUUGUAUAUAUGCGCGGAUAGUGAAAGAAACUAUUGAAAUAAUGAACUCUGUAAUGAUCAAUAAAACAUUGCCUGGUGUCUCAGGGCUGGGUGUAUCUGCACCCACACCACCCCUGUCCCUGGCACUGCCAUCUGUCACACACCCCUCCCACGUCUCUCCACCUUCGUCAUUCCCAACAUACUCUGUUCCUGCCAGAUUUACAAACUCGCUCUCUGCUCCACGUUGACAAAUACGGUACUGUACAAAAGUCUUAGACAUAUAUAUGCCUCGGACCUUUGCACAGUACUGUACCUUCCCCCCACGACCAUGUGGGUUUCCUCCAGAUUCUCCCGUUUUCUCUGCAUUCUCCUGCAUUACGUAAAACCAUUUUUACUGGAAGAGUUGUACAUAUCCCUCUCAAGCAAAGAAAUCAAAACAGGAAACAUGUUUCAGCAACAGCUGUCAAGAAAAGUCAAUUUGGCGUCGCUUCAGCGGAAAAGACCCGUCAUAUUGCCAAGUUAAGCAGUAAACCUAAAGAUCAGGAAAGCCUCAGAGCUCAACAAAGUCGGAUAAAGAGAACGCAGAACACUACAGCACAGUACAGGCACUUUAUCAGCUGGCCGUGGAUAACUUCACUCACAACUCCAAACUGAUUCUACAAGCUAGACUCAAUUCAAUGACAUCUUAAAACUCAUGCUACACACAAAAUGCUGGAGGAGCUUAGCGGGCCAGGCAGCGUCUAUGGAAAAAUGUACAGUCAACAUUUUGGCCCGAGACCCUUCGGCAGGACUGGCCUGCUGAGUUCCUCCCGCAUUUUGUGUGUGUUGUUUGGAUUCCCAACAUCUACGGAUUUUCUCUUGUUUAUGAUUAAAGCUCAUGUUCCCAUGUGCCGACUGGCCCAAGAGGCAGCAUAGCACAACACUUUACAACACAGCUGUACGUUCUCCCUGCGAUUGUGUAGGUUUCCUCUGGGUGCUCUGGUUUCCUCCCACAGUCCAAAGUUGUACCAGUUGGUGGGUUAUUAGUCAUAGUAAAUUGUCCCGUUAUUAGGCUAUGGUUAAACUGGGGAUUGCUGGGCAACGCGGCUUAUAGGGCCAG